rnacentral:lncRNA from 1 species
GCCAACACAGCUUCUGUCACCCUCCCACAUUAGGUCCUGCCCCGUGGGAUGACUUGACUAAACCCCACAGGAGUUCUGACUGCCCUCACUGCUGCUUGGAUGGGACCAAAACACAGCCCAGGAGUACAGUGGAGUCCAUGCCUUGUGGAGCUGACCUCCACCGCUGAGAGGAAGGAGCCAGGAUGGAGACAACAGAUACAUUGUUGGCCUAUCCGCCCACCCAAGAGCUGUUCUAAGACUCAGUGGUUCUGCACCUCUGCCAUCCUUUCCGUGACUCAGCAAACCAGCCGUGUUGCUAGAGAAACUGAGGUCAGAUUGGAAACCUACCACCCUGCGUCUGCUCUUUAACCUGCUCACUUCCACAUUCUCCUUCCCUCCUGCAGCCCUGGGAGGGAUCCCGUGAAUAAAGUCUUGUCAAUAA